rnacentral:rRNA from 1 species
CGGAGGAUGCGAGCGUUAUCCGGAUUUAUUGGGUUUAAAGGGUGCGUAGGCGGCUUUUUAAGUCAGCGGUGAAAUUUUGCUGCUUAACUGUAACAGUGCCGUUGAUACUGGGGAGCUAGGAUUUGGUUGCUGUGGGUGGAAUGUGUGGUGUAGCGGUGAAAUGCUUAGAGAUCACACAGAAUAUCGAUUGCGAAGGCAGCUCACAAAGCCAAGAUUGACGCUGAGGCACGAAAGUGUGGGGAUCAAACAGGAUUA